rnacentral:rRNA from 1 species
UACGUAUGGUGCAAGCGUUAUCCGGAUUUACUGGGUGUAAAGGGAGCGUAGGUGGUUUGGCAAGCCAGAAGUGAAAACCCGGGGCUUAACCCCGCGGAUUGCUUUUGGAACUGUCGGACUAGAGUGCAGGAGGGGCAAGUGGAAUUCCCAGUGUAGCGGUGAAAUGCUUAGAUAUUGGGAGGAACACCGGAGGCGAAGGCGGCUUGCUGGACUGUAACUGACACUGAGGCUCGAAAGCGUGGGGAGCAAA